UAUCUGCACUAGAGACACGCUGAAGGAAGAUAACCAACAGAAUACUCCACAUCACCCUUUGCUCUGAGAAGGCUGCCAGAUCUUAAAAGGGAAAUUAAAAGCAAGGUAUUGCCAAUGAAAAGAGAAGUCAAGUAACCUGGGUACAGUCCAAAUCCCUGGAUCUGAUGAAUGCAGAGAAAAACUUCAUAGCCAGUCCCUACUACAGUAAAGGAGUAAUCCUCCUUUCUCAACUUCUUGUCCCAGAGAAGGAAGCAAAAACUAAUAUGAAGAACUAAUACAGUACCAGAAGAAGGCUGGGUACAAGCUAUAAAAGGAGAGUGUGAUAUGAUAUCUAUUUUUAGUGGAACAGCUCCUGAUCAGCAGAAGAAACAUAUGAAAGGAUUUUAACAGGCA
ensembl:lncRNA